GUGCAGUUCUCCUCUGGCACG
rnacentral:miRNA from 1 species